UACGUAGGGUGCGAGCGUUGUCCGGAAUUAUUGGGCGUAAAGGGCUCGUAGGCGGUUUGUCGCGUCGGGAGUGAAAUCCACUGGCUUAACUGGUGGCUUGCUUUCGAUACGGGCAGACUGGAGGUAUGCAGGGGAGAACGGAAUUCCUGGUGUAGCGGUGAAAUGCGCAGAUAUCAGGAGGAACACCGGUGGCGAAGGCAGCCUCUGGGCCAACACUGACGCUCAUGCACAAAGCGUGGGGAGCAAACAGG
rnacentral:rRNA from 1 species